rnacentral:lncRNA from 10 species
UGGGGCCUUGGGGAGGCGAGGUAGGAGGCAGGCGGCCGGGGCUGCGCGGGAGCAGGGAUGGCCCAGGGCUGUGGCGUGGGAGUUGCGCAGGCGGGAUUCGAAGAGGGCUCCCGGCGGGAGGCGUCAGUCCGGGGGCGUACGCGAGCGAUGGCUGUGACCGCUGAGGGAGAGGACCAGGCUUCCUACAGCGCCGCCGCUCCCGGAGGAGACAGCCGUGGCCCGAAGCCCCAGGAGCGCCGGCAGGUGGACGGGAGGAGCGAGACUCUGUCUCAAAAAACAUAAAAUAAAAUCAUAAAAUAAAAUAA